AAUGGCUUUCAAUGUGCCAGUCUCUACAUUCAUAGUAGGUCACUGGGUUUUACCUGCAACUAAGAUUAUUUCUGUUAUGGUGAUUAUUUAUUUAUUCCUUUAUUUCUUACAUUAGCUCUAACCAGUUUUCAGCCUCCUUUCCCGCUCUUAUUCAACUAUUUAUGUACUCCUAUCUUGCCAAUGGUGUACCUAUUGUUGUGUGUAAUUUAAUGUGAGGCAUCGCACUCAUCCGUUUAGGCACUAUCGAGAUGGAGGCCAACAUCAUGGAUGGCUGGAGCUGCGAGUAGAUUUGUCCAAGAUAUGUUAGUGUUUGUAGUCAUGGUUCUGGUAAUUGUAUAUGAUCUCCAUAUCUUAACUGUUUUUGAAGACGAAAAUGCAAGUUGUUCUUCUUAGAUGCUCUUGCCUUUUUGAUUCAUACAUUGCUAAACUGACCAUUGACAUCUCACCACUUUGAUUCAUAAAUUGCUGAAUUACCCACAUGAACUCGUGCUGUCAUGGUUCAUAAAUUGCUGAAAUUCCCAUUAAGUGGCUUCCACUGUUCCAUAUGAGCAGUGUCUGUUGUGCUUUUAACCAGUCAACUAAGUAGGUACUAUGUUAUUAGUGGCUUGCUUUUAGGCCACAAUAACAUCUAUUUAUUUUUCUCCAAGUUUGUUUAUGUUACUUUUGUCACCUGAAGUCGUAUAUUGAGUUGUAAGGGAAUACUUUCAGAUCACAACUUUUCUUUGUAAUAGUCGUAAUCUAGCCGACCAACCAAUUAUUCAGAAGUAAUGACCCUUUGCAAGAAGUAAUAUUUCUUAUUUGCUGGGCAACCUGGCACUAUUUGCAUCAUGUCAAUGCAUUGAGUAUUAACUGUUUAUUUUGUUAUUUUCUGUGUAGAUUCAAAAGAUAUAUUGAUGCUUAUAUGGGUGUGUGGCAAGUAUACUGCGAUGAUGACGAUGAUGUUCCAGUUAACGAUGAUGACGAUGAUGGGUGUUUUCAGUUGUAGUUAUGAUGGGUGUUUUCAGUUUUACUUAAGUUGUAGGGAUGAUGUUACUGUCAGAUGAUGUUCCUCGGUUAAGUUUUAGUUAAGUUGUAGGCAUGUUGAUGGAUGCUUUCAGUUUAAGUUUCGUUGUUAAGAGAAUAUUUAGAUUAUGCAUCGCAUUUGGAUGCUAUUCCUUAUGUAAUAUCAACAAUUGUAAUCUCACUAUUUUUUCCAAUAUAUGAUUUCUUCCUUUCGUGUGUAUAUUUUUUCUUCUGACUUGAUAUAAAUUCUUAUCACCAUUAUGUGGAGCAUUAAU
rnacentral:lncRNA from 1 species